UUUGGUCCUUAGAAUCCCUGGGCUAGAUGCUCAUGAUGGGCCCUUCUGACCUUAACGUCUGUGAGUGGAACAGGGGUCGGACACAGAGAUGCUGUAGAUCGGAAUCUGGGGGUGACAUGGACUGAAGCCCCUUCUGUAACCUCCCCCAUCGCCCCGACAGGCUGAGGAAUCACGUUCACAUGUCGCUCCAGAUCGUCCCGUCUUCCAGGAGACAGGGAAGGGAAAUGUCUGUGAUGGAGCCAGCUCAGAUGCCGGUGACCUUCGAGGAGGUGGCUGUGUAUUUCACCCAGGGACAGGGGGCUCUGCUG